rnacentral:miRNA from 1 species
UCUGUGUGUGUGUGUGUGUGUGUGUGUGUGCACACGCACUCACACACACACACACACACGGGCU